GGGGAUAUAGCUCAGUUGGUAAAGUGCUUGCCCCCUAUGCAAAAGACCCUGGGUUCAAUCCCCAGCACCA
rnacentral:tRNA from 1 species